rnacentral:rRNA from 1 species
UACGGAGGGGCGAGCGUUGUCCGAAGUUACUGGGCGUAAAGCGCGCGUAGGCGGGUUGGUAAGUCCGCUGUGAAAGCCCGGAGCUAACUCCGGAGGUCGGUGGAUACUGCCAGUCUUGAAGGUGCUAGGGGGAGAUGGAAUUACCGGUGUAGCGGUGAAAUGCGUAGAUAUCGGUAGGAACACCAGUGGCGAAGGCGGUCUCCUGGGGC